rnacentral:tRNA from 1 species
UGACCCAUGGUGUAAUGGUAACACAGCAGAUUUUGGUUCUGUCGUUUCAAGUUCGAGUCUUGAUGGGUCAA